UCCCUGAUAGCUCUAUUGGUAAAAAAUCUGCCUGCCAUGCAGAAGACCCUGGUUCGAUUCCUGGGUUGGGAA
rfam:Ovis aries breed Texel chromosome 2, whole genome shotgun sequence.